rnacentral:rRNA from 1 species
GACGUAGGGGGCGAGCGUUGCCCGGAGUUACUGGGCGUAAAGGGCGCGCAGGCGGCCGUGCGCGCCGCACCGUGAAAGCCCCCGGCUCAACCGGGCGGUGGCGGGCGGGACGGCGCGGCUGGAGGGUGGUAGGGGCCAGUGGAAUUCCCGGUGUAGUGGUGAAAUGCGUAGAUACCGGGAGGAACACCCGCAGCGAAGGCGGCUGGCUGGGCCAUUCCUGACGCUGAGGCGCGAAGGCUCGGGGAGCGAACGGG